AGCCAGAGCCGGGAUUAGAAUCCAGGUCCUCUGACCCCCAGGCCUGUGCUCUUUCCACUAGACCAUGUUUGCUUCCUUUUUACAAUCUUAAAAGAAGCAAAUGCCCCAUGAGCAGAUGUAGGUCCGGCCCAAUGUCUUCCCUGUUAUUUGUUCAUUUCCCUUCCUUAAUUAUGUCUGAGCUUCCCAGAGACUUAGCAAGCUAAUGGAAGGUAAUACUGUGGCCAACCAGCCACUCACUGAUUAAAAUACAGGAAUUGUUUUUUACCACCAACAACUUUGACCAGACUAGCCUAACAAAUGCUUAACUCAUUAUCUCAAUUAGUUUCAUUGUUUACAAAUUAAAUGACUAGAGUUUAAAAGAGGUUUUCUUUUGCAUGCAAGCAUUUCCUCUAUUGUAAAAAACCCAGUUAUCUAGAGGAAAGUGAACCCCUUUUUCCCAUCCAAUUAGCUAUAUGUAGUCAUUUAGUUUCAAUUUGUGUUACUGCUACUGCGGGGAGCGUAAAGCCCUAUUCUGCUCCAGAAGCUGAGAAUGUAGGCUUCUCUUCUCCCGGAGAGGCUUCGUGGGUUUCUCUCAUCAAUCCAUGCUGGGGUGUCAGAUGUAAAAGCAAAUGAAGAGAUUGAGGUCUUUGCUUGAGGGUCCAGGGCCACUGUAUAUACUCUGGAUAUUUGAAUCUUCUUAGGGGCAGCAGAUGGUGUUGAAAUUACUCUUUAAAGGACAUUGCAGCAUCGUUAAAAUAAAAGUUGUGCCUUUAUAAAGAGUGCAAAUGUACAGCAAAUGCCUAAACUUGAACCAUUUUCUAGUGCCUUGCUGGACAAGAAUGAAGGGGGCCAGGGAAUUUUGAUGGCAUUUGGAAUAUCGAGCACUCUCUAGGAGGCAUCAGUUACUGAUCCCCAUUGGUAAUCAGGGAGUAUAAAGGCUAAUCAACUAAAAAGGCCUCAAAGCCAGCUUGGAAAAAAAAAGAGAGACAAGUUAUUAUUGAAAAUGCAUCAUCUCGGGUCUGUCAAAAAUUCAUGUCACUCCAACUCCACACUGUUGAAUAUCGUUUUUUUAUCAACUUAAUGGUGCCUCCAAUAGCUAUGUAUGUAUUUCUAUGCUACUUUAGCCCAUGCUUCUAACCCCUGGGUGGUAAAAAAAUGAUUAGCACUUUAACAGUAGGUCUGUUAACUCAGAACCCCUUCAGCAGCAAUGCUUCAUUUGUGUAAAGGUUGAACGGUACUCUAUUUGUAAUACUGAAAAAAUAAUUGAUUUUUAAUGUGUGUUUUCAGAAGAUUUGUAAACAUGAAAAUAGCCGGUCCUUUAUAUGGAACUACCCACUUGUUUUCUGUGAUGUACCUCCUUGUUAAGAGCAUGGGAAAGGUUCUGGUCUGGGGCCUCACCUGGACACCACCCACUGGCUUCUGAAGAAGGUCAUAUUGUCCUAUUGUACUCUCGCAAGCGCUUAAUAUAGUGCUCUGGGCACAGUAAGCACUCAAUAAAUGAUUGACUAACCGACUGAGGUGCUCUGGGAGGAAGGAAGGACCAAGAGAACCGAACUGCAUGAACUGUACAGCUUUAUCUCAAGAAGGAGCAGAAUUGAAUCCAUCACAAAAGACACAAACUCCCUGUCCCUUCAGGAGGAGCCCCAGGCAGGUCAAGGAGAGCCCUAAAUAGCUUUUAAUGCUGUGUACAUAGUAUUCAUGUUGCCAUAAGAUUGCAAACUGUUUGAUCACUGUGGGUGCUAUUUGGUGAGGACAUGGGAAGUGUUCUUUCUAAUGGUGCCUGGACUGAGACCCACCCCCCUUCAAGAAAAACUAGGGGCAAAUGUAAAUACUGUUUUGCCCAGCUGUUUUUUCCUGUUAAAAAAAAGAUGAGCCUUUGGGAAGGUCUUACCAACUGUGUACAAGAAUGACUGCUAUGAAUAAAAAAUUCCCUCUCACUUUCUGUAAA